CUUUUUGGAGAGUUUGAUCCUGGCUCAGGACGAACGCUGGCGGCGUGCCUAAUACAUGCAAGUCGAGCGAAUCUGACGGGAGCUUGCUCCCUGAUGAUUAGCGG
rnacentral:rRNA from 1 species